GGGUUGUGAGGUUAAGCGACUAAGCGUACACGGUGGAUGCCCUGGCAGUCAGAGGCGAUGAAGGGCGUGCUAAUCUGCGAUAAGCGCCGGUAAGGUGAUAUGAACCGUUAUAACCGGCGAUACCCGAAUGGGGAAACCCAGUGUGAUUCGUCACACUAUCAUUAACUGAAUCCAUAGGUUAAUGAGGCGAACCGGGGGAACUGAAACAUCUAAGUACCCCGAGGAAAAGAAAUCAACCGAGAUUCCCCCAGUAGCGGCGAGCGAACGGGGAGGAGCCCAGAGCCUGAAUCAGCAUGUGUGUUAGUGGAAGCGUCUGGAAAGGCGCGCGAUACAGGGUGACAGCCCCGUACACAAAAGCGCAUGUGCUGUGAGCUCGAUGAGUAGGGCGGGACACGUGGUAUCCUGUCUGAAUAUGGGGGGACCAUCCUCCAAGGCUAAAUACUCCUGACUGACCGAUAGUGAACCAGUACCGUGAGGGAAAGGCGAAAAGAACCCCGGCGAGGGGAGUGAAAAAGAACCUGAAACCGUGUACGUACAAGCAGUGGGAGCACAGGUUUACCUGUGUGACUGCGUACCUUUUGUAUAAUGGGUCAGCGACUUAUAUUCUGUAGCAAGGUUAACCGUAUAGGGGAGCCGUAGGGAAACCGAGUCUUAAUUGGGCGUUAAGUUGCAGGGUAUAGACCCGAAACCCGGUGAUCUAGCCAUGGGCAGGUUGAAGGUUGGGUAACACUAACUGGAGGACCGAACCGACUAAUGUUGAAAAAUUAGCGGAUGACCUGUGGCUGGGGGUGAAAGGCCAAUCAAACCGGGAGAUAGCUGGUUCUCCCCGAAAGCUAUUUAGGUAGCGCCUCGUGAAUUCAUCUCCGGGGGUAGAGCACUGUUUCGGCUAGGGGGCCAUCCCGGCUUACCAACCCGAUGCAAACUGCGAAUACCGGAGAAUGUUAUCACGGGAGACACACGGCGGGUGCUAACGUCCGUCGUGAAGAGGGAAACAACCCAGACCGCCAGCUAAGGUCCCAAAGUCAUGGUUAAGUGGGAAACGAUGUGGGAAGGCACAGACAGCCAGGAUGUUGGCUUAGAAGCAGCCAUCAUUUAAAGAAAGCGUAAUAGCUCACUGGUCGAGUCGGCCUGCGCGGAAGAUGUAACGGGGCUAAACCAUGCACCGAAGCUGCGGCAGCGACGUUUAUGCGUUGUUGGGUAGGGGAGCGUUCUGUAAGCCUGCGAAGGUGGCCUGUGAGGGUUGCUGGAGGUAUCAGAAGUGCGAAUGCUGACAUAAGUAACGAUAAAGCGGGUGAAAAGCCCGCUCGCCGGAAGACCAAGGGUUCCUGUCCAACGUUAAUCGGGGCAGGGUGAGUCGACCCCUAAGGCGAGGCCGAAAGGCGUAGUCGAUGGGAAACGGGUUAAUAUUCCCGUACUUGGUGUUACUGCGAAGGGGGGACGGAGAAGGCUAUGUUGGCCGGGCGACGGUUGUCCCGGUUUAAGCGUGUAGGCUGGUUUUCCAGGCAAAUCCGGAAAAUCAAGGCUGAGGCGUGACGACGAGGCACUACGGUGCUGAAGCAACAAAUGCCCUGCUUCCAGGAAAAGCCUCUAAGCAUCAGGUAACAUCAAAUCGUACCCCAAACCGACACAGGUGGUCAGGUAGAGAAUACCAAGGCGCUUGAGAGAACUCGGGUGAAGGAACUAGGCAAAAUGGUGCCGUAACUUCGGGAGAAGGCACGCUGACACGUAGGUGAAGUGAUUUACUCAUGGAGCUGAAGUCAGUCGAAGAUACCAGCUGGCUGCAACUGUUUAUUAAAAACACAGCACUGUGCAAACACGAAAGUGGACGUAUACGGUGUGACGCCUGCCCGGUGCCGGAAGGUUAAUUGAUGGGGUCAGCGCAAGCGAAGCUCCUGAUCGAAGCCCCGGUAAACGGCGGCCGUAACUAUAACGGUCCUAAGGUAGCGAAAUUCCUUGUCGGGUAAGUUCCGACCUGCACGAAUGGCGUAAUGAUGGCCAGGCUGUCUCCACCCGAGACUCAGUGAAAUUGAACUCGCUGUGAAGAUGCAGUGUACCCGCGGCAAGACGGAAAGACCCCGUGAACCUUUACUAUAGCUUGACACUGAACAUUGAGCCUUGAUGUGUAGGAUAGGUGGGAGGCUUUGAAGCGUGGACGCCAGUCUGCGUGGAGCCGACCUUGAAAUACCACCCUUUAAUGUUUGAUGUUCUAACGUGGACCCGUAAUCCGGGUUGCGGACAGUGUCUGGUGGGUAGUUUGACUGGGGCGGUCUCCUCCUAAAGAGUAACGGAGGAGCACGAAGGUUGGCUAAUCCUGGUCGGACAUCAGGAGGUUAGUGCAAUGGCAUAAGCCAGCUUGACUGCGAGCGUGACGGCGCGAGCAGGUGCGAAAGCAGGUCAUAGUGAUCCGGUGGUUCUGAAUGGAAGGGCCAUCGCUCAACGGAUAAAAGGUACUCCGGGGAUAACAGGCUGAUACCGCCCAAGAGUUCAUAUCGACGGCGGUGUUUGGCACCUCGAUGUCGGCUCAUCACAUCCUGGGGCUGAAGUAGGUCCCAAGGGUAUGGCUGUUCGCCAUUUAAAGUGGUACGCGAGCUGGGUUUAGAACGUCGUGAGACAGUUCGGUCCCUAUCUGCCGUGGGCGCUGGAGAACUGAGGGGGGCUGCUCCUAGUACGAGAGGACCGGAGUGGACGCAUCACUGGUGUUCGGGUUGUCAUGCCAAUGGCACUGCCCGGUAGCUAAAUGCGGAAGAGAUAAGUGCUGAAAGCAUCUAAGCACGAAACUUGCCCCGAGAUGAGUUCUCCCUGAGACUUAGAGUCUCCUGAAGGAACGUUGAAGACGACGACGUUGAUAGGCCGGGUGUGUAAGCGCAGCGAUGCGUUGAGCUAACCGGUACUAAUGAACCGUGAGGCUUAACCUUACAACGCCGAAG
rnacentral:rRNA from 1 species